ensembl:lncRNA
GUACCAAUACCAAAUUUGAGUACCAUUGUAUCACUGUUCAAAGCACUGUCAAAUUCCUUUCAUCCUUUAAUAACUCUAAGAUCCUUGAAUCUUCAGUCUGAUUUUUGCUGGAAACAAAAACGGAACCAUUGACUAGUAAUUUCUUCAGAAGCACAGAUGUUCUGCAAACAGUCCUUUCCUGUGUGUCUUCUGUUACCCUCACAGCAGAGUUAUUUUGAUUGGCUGUUUGUUUAGUUUCUUUGUUUUUAAUCCCCGGCUGGCACUUUACUCAUUGCAGUUGAGUUUAUUGCCCCGUUACUGAAGAACUCAGGAUGACCCUGGAAAGGAGAUCUGGGUUUCAGAGAUUUCCCAUCUAAGAAGAAAAUGUCCUAGAGUUCUUGAUUCUUUUCCAAACAGUCCCCUACUUUUAUUUACAGCUUUCUCUUUACCUUGUCCAAAAUUUAGCCUUGAAGCAGUUUCCCUCUGUGGCUUUGCCUUUCUCAUAUUCUCAGAGGCUUCAAGUUUUAAUGAAAUCCCAGGAUCCAAGAACCAAGGGGAGGGGUGGGAUGGCACUUUUUCUCAUUCUUGUUUAUUUUGAGGGGUCUUUUUUUUUUUCUUUGGUUGGUUUAAGAUUAGCCAUUCUCUGCUGCUAUUUCUUUAUAUAAUGUAAGUUUUUAACUGCAAUUUUGAGAUGAUUGAGAUUUACUUGAGGCUUUUUUUUUUUUUUUUUUUUAAUGAGAAAUGGCUUUGUGAAUCUUAUUUUAGGAUGAGCCUCUCCUAGACUUGCGCUAGACAUUACAUAUUCCUUGGGUCAUACUGCAAAGCAAAAAAGGGGCAGAAUUGGGGUCACAGCCACUUGUUCAGCAUGGACCAAGUGGGCCUUGGGGAUUACCGCAUUCUCCGGAAGCAGCUACAGGACUCUGAUUAACAGAAAGCCAAGGAGAUGCAACUUGAGGCUCUACUAGCAAAGCUACAGAUAAGACCCAUGGGUAGCCAACUUUCUCUUCGAGGGACUGGAAUCUAGAUUCUGACAUUUGUCCACCAACAAUGGCAAAGGAAAAAGUGGUGCAAGUAUGCCAUCCAUUUAACUCAUAAGCAUAUUACCCUGAGUAACUAUGGCCAGCCAUUCAUCGGAUCCUUGAUUGGGUAGUCCUGAAAUCAGACAUGUUCCUGUAGAAAGAAUUUUAAGUGAGGCUCUCUAUGCACCUAUCAAGAAUAAAGAGAAAAGAUUGUAUCAAACAACGGCAGGGAAAAUCCUUCAGCAAUUCUGAUCCACUUUGGGUUUUCAAUGAUAUGUACAUCUAAAGCAAUAGCAGACUAGAACUGAAUUCUUUUCUACACUAUAAAAUCACAAUUGUGGAAUUACAAGAGUUCUGGCGAUAGUAAUGUGAAAUAACCAAAACACACACACAUACAAAUAGAAGGCCCCACUUUAACAAUUGAUAUGACAAGAAAUUUUAAUGAGAGAACCUAUAACUUCAUUUUGGAAAUGUUUCCCCACCAAAUAAGGGCUUGUCCUCCUAUCAUUUAAGGAGCCAGAUGAAUUAGAAGCCGUAGAAGGAGGCAGCUGUAGAAUUUGAUCUUCCAAGUACCCCCGUACAUGUAUUGAAUUCAAUCAUAAUGCUGUCAAAUUGCUCUGAUCUCAUGAAAGGAUUUCUAUUUGCUGUCAGUUAAAAAUAAAACCCCAAAUACAUUUUUAUUCUUUCUACUGGGUGCAUUGUCUGUUUUCUUUGUAAAUGUAGUACAAUAAACAAAUUAUUUAAUAACUUACAUGUUUCCAGAAGCUUUCUGUUCAUUUUUUGCCCGUUAGUCUGAUCCAGCCUUCAGAAUGGAGGAAAGGAUUGGUUGAGUUUUCUUCUUGAACUUCAGUAGGCAAUGAACUGUACAACUGAACGCGUGCCAUUUUGUGGGAUCUAGUUUUCGCCCAUUUUGAUAGAAUAACAAGGCUUGCCGUCCACUUGGCAGAACUGGACCGUGCAGAAGUACAAGCUGCCUACGAUCUGAGCCGUGUGCUUAGAAGUCGCCCUGCAGGCACUGCAUUGGUUUCUUUGGAUUUACUAAGUAGAGAGGAAAGCAUGG